AAAAAAGUGAAAAAAAAAAGAAAAAAAAGAGAAGAAACGUCUUUUCUAUUAUUUACAGGUACAUCUUUUAUUCUGGUUGAUCUGGCUUGACUACUUCGACGAACGAAAGGGAAGUUCUUGCUUUUAUUUAUUGUUGGUUUAUAUUACUGUUUCAUUUUGAAAUUGCAUCAAUUAAAUUUUUGCCUAAACUCACGUAAUUGGAUCCAUUGACCUCGUUAAAUCUCACUUUAACCUGCUUAUUUUACGUGAUUAGGUUUUGACUAGUAUUUGACCAUUGCUUUAUUAUUUUACAUAUACCAGCAAUACUAGCUUAUUGUAUAUAAUUUUAGUCCCAAAAUUUAAAUUUAAAAAAAAAUCUCAAAUUUUCAUUUUCCAUUACUUGCACUUUUUGUUCAUUGAUCUCUCUAUUGCAUGUCAUUAAGUUGCUAUUACAGUGCAUGCAGUUAUAUAUUGGUCAUCUUGUCACUUCUAGCUCUAGUACCUUAAACAUGAACCCCUCACAAUUCGAUACACUCAUCCGACAAAUAGCGGCUAUUCAAACUCAAAUGACCACUACUCUUGAAGAGAGUAAGACCCUAUCUGCUAGUUUGAAAAAUUUUAAACACAUCCCUCAUUCGAUUGAUGUUGAUAAUUCUAAGGUGUCCCAUAAUAGACAACAUCGUCGACAAGGUAAUCAAAAAUACUUUCGACCCGAUCGUAAGGAUAGGGAUAGGAAUAGGGAUCAAAUUCGUGAGCGAGAACGAGAUAAUUUUGAAAUUCUUACUCAAUGGAAUGCCCUUAAACAAGGAAAUCAAUUAGUGACUGAGUAUAUCGCGCAAUUUGAGGAAUUUCGAACCAAAUGUCAUUUAAUUGAGAAUGAGAGCACGACUUUGAGUAGGUUUAGCCAAGGUCUGAGAGAUGAUCUUAAGCGCGAGCUUUUCUUUCGAGGCGUCACUACUCUUAAUCACGCUUACUCUUUAGCUCGAGAUUAUGAGUUGAUUAUUAGUACUCCAUAUGAAAAGCGUGGUCAUCGUCGUUCACCCAUCUCAUUAGCGUCGCCUCAUCAUAAGUCUAUCAUAAAACCUUCUUCCCUUCUCUCUGUUUCUCCUCCCCGUUCCUUCUUCUUUCUUUCUUAUUCAUCCUACAUCAAAUUUGGUAUCAGAGCCGAACCAUGGGUAAUUUCUUUUCUUUAAUCCAAAAUUUAUUCAUAUUUCUUUCCCAAAAUCUGUUGGAACAGCACGAACUAAAAGAAUAUUUGGUACAGGCAGCAGCUUUUUUCUUCUUCUUCAAUUUUCAGUCUUAGGUGAAAAAAAAAAAAAAGGAAAAAAAAGUCACUGUUCACACCCGGAAUUUCAGUUUUUUUUAUAGAUUUUUCAGCAGUUUCACAAAAAAAAAAAUCGUUUUUGUUCACGGGUACUGUUCACACCCGAAAUUUAUUUCACACUCGAAAUUUCUUUUUUUUUUUUAAUUUAUUUAUUUAUCGUUUUCUGCAGUUCCAAAAAAAAAGUGAAAAAAAAAAAGAAAAAAAAUAGGAAAAAAAAAAGAGAGAAGAAACGUCUUUUCUAUUAUUUACAGGUACAUCUUUUAUUCUGGUUGAUCUGGCUUGACUACUUCGACGAACGAAAGGGAAGUUCUUGCUUUUAUUUAUUGUUGGUUUAUAUUACUGUUUCAUUUUGAAAUUGCAUCAAUUAAAUUUUUGCCUAAACUCACGUAAUUGGAUCCAUUGACCUCGUUAAAUCUCACUUUAACCUGCUUAUUUUACGUGAUUAGGUUUUGACUAGUAUUUGACCAUUGCUUUAUUAUUUUACAUAUACCAGCAAUACUAGCUUAUUGUAUAUAAUUUUAGUCCCAAAAUUUAAAUUU
rnacentral:lncRNA from 1 species